GGUAACGCCGGGCCAGCGGCCGGGGGAAUACGGAGGGGGCGAACGUUAAUCGGAAUCACAGGGCGGAAAGCGCGCGUAGGCGGUCUGUUAAGUGGGAUGUGAAAUCCCCGGGCUUAACCUGGGAAUUGCAUUCCAAACUGGCCGACUAGAGUACGGUAGAGGGAGGUAGAAUUUCCUGUGUAGCGGUGAAAUGCGUAGAUAUAGGAAGGAAUACCAGUGGCGAAGGCGGCCUCCUGGAUCGGUACUGACGCUGAGGCGCGAAAGCGUGGGGAGCAAACAGGAUUAGAUACCCCUGUAGUC
rnacentral:rRNA from 1 species